UACGUAGGGAGCAAGCGUUGUCCGGAAUCAUUGGGCGUAAAGCGCGCGUAGGCGGCUCGAUCAGUCUGUUGUGAAAGUCAAAGGCUCAACCUUUGAAUGCCGAUGGAUACUGUCGAGCUAGAGUCCGGAAGAGGCGGGUGGAAUUCCUGGUGUAGCGGUGGAAUGCGCAGAUAUCAGGAAGAACACCAAUGGCGAAAGCAGCUCUCUGGGACGGUACUGACGCUGAGACGCGAAAGCGUGGGGAGCGAACAGG
rnacentral:rRNA from 1 species